rnacentral:rRNA from 1 species
UACGGAAGGCAGCAGUGGGGAAUAUUGCACAAUGGGCGCAAGCCUGAUGCAGCCAUGCCGCGUGUAUGAAGAAGGCCUUCGGGUUGUAAAGUACUUUCAGUCGUGAGGAAGGUGUUAAGGUUAAUAACCUUAGCAAUUGACGUUAGCGACAGAAGAAGCACCGGCUAACUCCGUGCCAGCAGCCGCGGUAAUACGGAGGGUGCGAGCGUUAAUCGGAAUUACUGGGCGUAAAGGGCACGCAGGCGGUUAAUUAAGUUGGAUGUGAAAUCCCCGGGCUUAACCUGGGAAUGGCAUUCAAGACUGGUUAGCUAGAGUCUUGUAGAGGGGGUAGAAUUCCAUGUGUAGCGGUGAAAUGCGUAGAGAUGUGGAGGAAUACCGGUGGCGAAGGCGGCCCCUGGACAAAGCUGACGCUCAUGCGCGAAAGCGUGGGGAGCAAAC